rnacentral:rRNA from 1 species
GAUGAACGCUGGCGGCGUGCUUAACACAUGCAAGUCGAACGGAAAGGCCCAAGCUUGCUUGGGUACUCGAGUGGCGAACGGGUGAGUAACACGUGGGUGAUCAGCCCCGCACUUCGGGAUAAGCCUGGGAAACUGGGUCUAAUACCGGAUAGGACCACUUCUUGGAGGUUGUGGUGGAAAGUUUUUUCGGUGUGGGAUGAGCUCGCGGCCUAUCAGCUUGUUGGUGGGGUAAUGGCCUACCAAGGCGUCGACGGGUAGCCGGCCUGAGAGGGUGUACGGCCACAUUGGGACUGAGAUACGGCCCAGACUCCUACGGGAGGCAGCAGUGGGGAAUAUUGCACAAUGGGCGCAAGCCUGAUGCAGCGACGCCGCGUGGGGGAUGACGGCCUUCGGGUUGUAAACUCCUUUCGCUAGGGACGAAGCGCAAGUGACGGUACCUAGAGAAGAAGCACCGGCUAACUACGUG